rnacentral:rRNA from 1 species
UAGGGAAUCUUCCGCAAUGGGCGAAAGCCUGACGGAGCAACGCCGCGUGAGUGAUGAAGGUCUUCGGAUCGUAAAACUCUGUUAUUAGGGAAGAACAAAUGUGUAAGUAACUAUGCACGUCUUGACGUUACCUAAUCAGAAAGCCACGGCUAACUACGUGCCAGCAGCCGCGGUAAUACGUAGGUGGCAAGCGUUAUCCGGAACUAUUGGGCGUAAAGCGCGCGUAGGCGGUUUUUUAAGUCUGAUGUGAAAGCCCACGGCUCAACCGUGGAGGGUAAUUGGGAACUGGAAAACUUGAGUGCAGAAGAGGAAAGUGGAAUUCCAUGUGUAGCGGUGAAAUGCGCAGAGAUAUGGAGGAACACCAGUGGCGAAGGCGACUUUCUGGUCUGUAACUGACGCUGAUGUGCGAAAGCGUGGGGAUCAAACAGG